UAUUAGGUAAGACGGUUGGGUAGUACUAUAAAAUGCUUGUUGCGGUUGGGUUGGGCUGACCUGCAAAAACCUUUUUAUAAUCAUCAACUUAAUGACUUUUUCCAUCUACAACUUUGUUUAUACUCUUAUGGUAUUAAUGGUUUGGUGUUUGGCCAAGCACAACAUCAACAAAUGCUACUUUUCUUUCUUUAUUGAAGAACCUAUAGUAUACAUUAGACUAUCUUCAAAUGUGGUUAUCAUGACUCACUUGAAAGGGUAAUUUUUUUUAUUUUUUUUAAUUGAGUGGCUGUAUAGGUUUUUGACAGUAAUCUGUUCUAUUGGAGUAUUGGGAUUGGGUUAUAUGUGUGGGUUGUGGAAACCCAAGAACAUGAACAACAGUUUGAGAAAUCAACUUAGGAUGUAGUACCACAUGCAGCAUUUGUAGAAGAAAUGACAGAUGCCAUGAUGGUUAAAUACACAGGCUGGAGCCUGGACGGGAGAGAGUUGGUUGUUAAGGAUAUAAACAUUGUGAUGGGAAUCGCAAGUGGUUGCUCGCGGUUGGUGAUCCCAAGCAACCUGUUGUUGGCUGAGUUCAUGAUAAUGCCCGCACAUAGCCAGGAGUAGUCCAAGCCAAUAAAUGGGUUGUGGCAUUAUCUUGAGGACUAUAUUGUCACGGAUGUUCUGUUUUAAGAGUGAGACGCAGAGUUAAAUUUGUUUGGCCAUCAUGUAAAUGAUAUCUCAAUCGUUGCGUCUAUAUGUAUCUGAUUUCCUUAUUGUCAACACAAUUAUAAAGUUGAAGAUAUUAGAUAGAGGCAUAGAGCAAAUGAAAAGAAGGUGAUAAACUUACAACCGUUUUUAUCUAUUUACAACCAUAUCUGUCCAUAUCGUAUAGCUGUCUUGUAUGAUGUAUUUAUUGUAAAAAGGAUUGUAAGUUAGCAAGUGUUCAAAUGACAUCAAUUGCUCAUUCAAAGGCGUUGGUAGAUACUUGUUUUUUUAAUUGAAAAGGUUGAUCAUUUUACUAUACUUUAUACUAUAAGUAAUUUAAAUUA